ACGGCUCUAGCUUGCUAGAGUGUCAGCUAAGUGGCGCACGGGUGAGUAAUAUAUAGUUAAUCUGCCCCAAAGAAGGGAAUAAUUGUUGGAAACGACUUGUAAUGCCCUAUAUGCCUUUAUAACAUAAGUUAGCAAGGGAAACAUUUAUGGCUUUGGGAUGAGACUGUACAGUAUCAGAUAGUUGGUGGGGUAAUGGCCUACCAAGUCAAUGACGCUUAACUGGUUUGAGAGGAUGAUCAGUCACACUGGAACUGGGACACGGUCCAGACUCCUACGGGAGGCAGCAGUGGGGAAUAUUGCACAAUGGACGAAAGUCUGAUGCAGCAACGCCGCGUGGAGGAUGACACAUUUCGGUGCGUAAACUCCUUUUAUAUGAGAAGAUAAUGACGGUAUCAUAUGAAUAAGCACCGGCUAACUUCGUGCCAGCAGCCGCGGUAAUACGAGGGGUGCAAGCGUUACUCGGAAUCACUGGGCGUAAAGAGAAUGUAGGCGGGUAAUUAAGUUGGAAGUGAAAUCCUAUGGCUCAACCAUAGAACUGCUUCCAAAACUGAUUACCUAGAAUAUGGGAGAGGUAGAUGGAAUUUCUGGUGUA
rnacentral:rRNA from 1 species